ACAAAAGGAUGAACUAUUGCACUGGGCACUGAAUAAUAUAUUCAUGAGUGACAACGCAUUUUAGGUGGGCCUCAGAAACCCACUGUAACUGAUUCU
rnacentral:snoRNA from 1 species